rnacentral:SRP_RNA from 1 species
GCCAGUUGUGGUGGUGUGCAACUCUAGUCCCAGCUACUUGGGAGGCUGAGGCAGGAAGAUUGCUUGAGUCCAGGAGUUCUGGGCUGUAGUGUGCUAUGCUGAUUGGGUGCUGGCACUAAGUUCAGCAUCAAUAUGGUGACCUCCCCGGAGCAGGGGACCACCAGGUUGCCUAAGGAGGGGUGAAAUGGCCACCGUCGGAAAUGAAGCAGGCCAAAUCCCGUGCUGAUCAAUACUAGAGCCUAAAAAUUCUUUAUCCUCAUCCCAAAUUCCAGAAUCUCACUGUAGCUACUCAUCUCU